ACCGGUAAAUUAUCAUAAUCAGAAUUUGUCGACGAAUUUGAUAUUCUUUUACAAAAUAUACUUAUCUUAAUAUGUAUAACCGGAGUUUAUAUUACAUGCCCCUCUCCCAACGAUAGUUGUAGUACUCUUAUAAUAGUAGUACUCAUGAAUACAGUUAAUCCGGGUUGUUGGGAGAGAUCACAUGCAUAAAUACAACAUGAAACAAACGUGUGAAAAAGGUACAUAAAAUCGGUGUGACCCGUUCUUGUAUUAUAAGAAAUCAACUUGCUUAGGCCUUGCCGGACUCCUCACAACCCGGUGGCUUGAAGGCGAUGAAGCUGAUGCACUGCACUUGCCUGGUGUUGUCGAAGCCGAUGAUGCGGACAUAGGCGUCAGGGUACUCCUUCUUCACCUCCUCCAGCUCCUUUAGCACCUGCGUGGCGUCGGUGCACCCGAACAUGGGAAGCUUCCACAUUGUCCAGUACCUGCCGUCGUAGUACCCGGGAGAGUUGCCGUGCUCACGGAAGACGAAACCGACCUUGCUGAACUCGAGGCAAGGAACCCACUUGGAGCGGAUGAGAUACUCGAUCUGCUUCAAGAGGGACUCCACGGUGAGAGGCGGCAGGUAGGAAAGGGUUUCGAACUUCUUGAUGCCCUCAAUUGGCCACACCUACAAUUAGAUUAAUAAUUAGCACCGAAAGUAUAAUUUGAGACACAUAUCAGUAUUUCACUUCAACAUAUGUACAUGAUGACAUACAUACCUGCAUGCACCUGAUCCUUCCACCGUUGGAGACGCUGCCGAGACCAGCGCUGGCUGAGCGGCGGCCGAUGGGGAGCCCGGCGGUGGACUUGAGGCCCUGGAAAGGAGCAACGGCAGUAGCCGCUGACGACAUCACUGUGGGAGCCAUCGUACACGUACGUAGAUAGCUAACAAGAGGAGGCAGGCUUGCUUGAGUGCUCUCUAGCUACAGCGGCUUAUAUAACUGUAGGCUCCCCACCCAUCCAAUAUCAGCACAAGAUCUAGGAGGGGUGGCUGCAGUUCGCCGCGCGGAUUUGCCCAGGCCACGCUGGCAUCCUACGGAUCAGGUCGGGCGCCACAUGGCCGCACGAAAUGGCGCGCGUUAUCCUCUGGACGGAUACAAUUGGCUGCAACGCACUCUGCAAAUCAUGCCAUGAAGUGACCAAUUUUCACCUAUCAGGAUAGAUCCAAUGUGCCACGGCAUGCACUCAAAAACAGAACUUGCUAAUCCCUCCAAUCCAUAAAAAAUCUCGCCCACUUAUUAGAAAAUUUGUAAUGAGUUAAUGCAAAAUGAGCAGCACUUUUUAUGAACUAGAGGAACAACAAAUUAAGAGAAACUCUUCUAAGAUCUUAUCGAGAACGAAGCUUGCCCCCGCGUCGCUCAGUCUGGGGCGACACGGGCGGCAACCACACCAGCCCCGGCAGCAGCCUCUCCCCGUCCUCUCCUCCCCCUCGCCGCCGCCGGGCAAAGCCCGCACGGGGACGGCGGCGGCGGGGCUGUUUUUCUUGGCGGGGGUGUCCUAGAGCUCUUGGCUGAGGCGUUUGAGGUGCUGCCUCAUCGUGGUCGCGGCGUCUCCGGCCCGAUCCGGCAGGCUAUGCCUCGUCUUCGGCUAGAUCCGGCCGGCUUCCUCCCGGAUCCGGUGUUUCCCCUCGUUCUUCCUCUCCCUGGUGCUCGGUCUGCUCGUGGCUGCGCGGCUUCACGGCGGCGCUCUUCGGCCGGAUCUAGCUACUCGUUGGCCAGAUCCGUCAUCUCCUCCGGCUGAUCCGGCAUGUCCCAGGUCUCUUCGUUUCCAUCAUUUUUCCUCUCAGUUUGGUGAGGCGGCUGAUUGAACUUCACCGGCGGCAGAUGGGCUGCUGCUGCGGCCAUACAUGGUCCAAGUCGGUCCUUUUCGAUGCCAUGGUGGCGUGGUUUUCAUUUUCGGUCGCGUCUUCGGCUGCUGCCCGUGUGCGAGGUAUGGACGUCGGCUCCGGUGUUUGGAGUGUUGCUCUGGAUGAAAACUGCCCGUGUGCGAGGUAUGCCGAAGACAACGAUGUUGUAGCGCCGUUUUCCUUCUUGGAGGUGUCGUCGAAGAGCUUCACUUUCCCUCACUUUGAUGUUUGGUGUCUUCGGGUGAAAACCUAAGAUUUGGCUAUGGCCAGAUCGGGCGACAACGGCGUUUUUACGUCGAUUUCCUCCUUGGGGGCGUUGUCAUGGAGACAACGACUCUUGGUGGCAUCGGGUGGUGUGGUCCGUCUAUGGUGGAGCUUGUUGUCUCGAGUUGUUGAAGGUUUGGUGGUGUCUCUUCUUGUGUCAUGUGUUAGCUUAGGCUGUCGGUUUGUGUCCGGCGAGAACGUGCGUUUCUUAUCCUUUGGUGCGGUUUCGGCAUGUGAUGCCUUUCGUCUUCACUAUCGUCACGUAGGUGUCGUGUUGUAUUCUCGGUGGUGUGUGGUCUUUCGGCUUAGCCAACGGCAAGUGGAGGUAUGAUCUCGGUUGUGUAUUGCCCUUCGACUUCAUCGGCGGCACAUCGGCGUCGCGGUGGGUCUCAGUGACGCGCAGCCCUUCGACUCUGCCGGCUACGUAGGUGUCAUGGUGCGGCCUUGACCCUGUGCUUCCCUUCAGCUACGGCGACGACAUAGUGUCUGGGUGGGCUCGUCAGAUCGACGCCUUUCGACUACAUCAACUAUGCUCUUCAUUGUGCAUUUAUUUUGCCAUUGACAUGUUUCAAGAGUCUAGGUUUUUUCCUUGUGUUUCUUUUAGCAAAUGCUGUUCUGCAGGCUGGCUUUUGCCCACCCGAUCAGAAAAGAAAAACAAAUUAAAGGCUAAAAUCAAGCGAUGUUAUAUUCCCUUAGCUAUUACAAAUAUGGAUGAUAAGAGUUAUUUAUCCUUUUUCAACGAGUAACCCUUUACUUGGAAGUUCCAUGUGCAUGGCGCUGCAAGAAAACAAACAUCAUAAUGGGGCAAGACUUUUUUUUUUAUAAACAUCCAAUUUGGGUUAAAGUCUGAAAGAAUUUGGCUAUCUGAACUUUCAGUUUCCACAUUCUUUUACCUACUCAAUUCUUCAGCCAACAGGAUCAAUGGCGACCUACUAACACCAACCAGAACACAUGGGUCACAAACACGAAAAAGGGCUAGAAGGCUACUUAUACACACUCAUGUGUACUGCGAGCAAAAGAACAUAAUGUACAAAACUUUACAAAAUCUAGGGAAUUAAGACCUUCCCGUAUGCUGUUGCUGCCGCUGCUGCUUCAUGCUGGCUCUCCUGGCAACAUCCCAUGGUUUGUGAGGCACACCUACACCUUGCUGGGAUGCGAAGAACGACUCGUAUCCCGGGGAGUCGAAAGCAAAACCAGUGUGCUUGGAGUUCUCUCGAGGGAGCAUGGAGAUCGCAUAGCUUCUUGCUUCUUCUGGGCUCAAAUGGCUCCUCUCAGGCAGAUGUAUCAUGCUGUAUUCGUGGGGGUCAUCCUUGUGCAUCUCCUGGAUUACUUGGUAGUCAUAGGGAAAGAGCCAUCUUUGGAGCCUGAGAAAGCACACAGCAUCAAAGACAACAAUUGAUUCAGCUACUUCAGUAUGUACAAUGGAAGGAAUAACAAACGGAUGGCAUUAACAAACAUAUAAUUUUGCAAAAGAGCUGGUAUCUUACGAUAGAUACAGGAAAUCACCAAAGAGAGCGAUGACUGGAGCAAGCAUUAGUGUGAGGUAGAAGAAAAAGGUACUCAUCAGAACAUAAAUCACAAAAUAUACAUUUUCCUGCACAAGGUACACAGCAUUAAGUCAAUGCAUUUGUAGCAAGUAAUCGUCAUCAGCAGUGUAAUAGCUACAUUAUUCACCCACCUGUCGGUCAAAUGAUGUCAUUAUCGCAGAAUAUAUGAAGAUAAACAGAAACCAGGCCGCUAUACUGCCAGCUACGCUGAAAUAAUGCCAUCUCGUGAUAGAAUUGCACGACAUGAGGAGACGUAGAUUAACAGUCACCACAACACAAGUAAAGGCCAUCGUGCUAACAUCCCAUUGACCAAGAAUCUUGCCAGAUGAACCGUGACCAUGCUGACUUGCAGCUGCAGUAAAGUAAUAGAACACUAUUGACUGGUAGAAGGCAAAGAAACCCCACACCGCAAUCACUUUCCACCGGAAGAAUGUGUUCCUAAUUCCUUCUUGGUAAAGUUGUGGGUAUUUUUUUGAUAGAGAUGCACUCACAUCCUGAAAGGGUUCAGUUUAGUGAAUGUAGCAAGGAGCGUCACUCCAGAACAAGAAAAGUAGAACAAAUACAAGCAACCAUACCUUAUCAAACAACCCAACCAUAAUUACAGGUAGUGCCGUGAAAAUGACAUUAUACAGAGACUGGAACCAGUCAUCAUAAAAUCGCUGACCAGAAAAGCCAGUUUGGAAAGUGAACCAGAACUGAGUUAGUGUAAAAGUCAGAUUCUUGUAGAAGAAGUAUGUGAUAACCUGAAACAGAAAGUGUCAAUGUUAAAAAAAUUAAACUACACAGAUUGGCAGCUACAAGCUAAGGGACCAAAGCAUACCUUGCACAAUCUCAAGUAUGACCACCGCCCAUGUACAAGAAGUAAAUCCGUAAGAUAUCGAAACUGAGCAAUGGCAAAAUCACUCGCCAUAACAGCUUGCAUUCCUUCUUGUCCGCUGAUGCCAAUACCAACAUGAGCAGCUUGAAUCAUACUCACAUCAUUAGCACCAUCACCAAUACUGAGAGUUAUCUUACGUGCACCUUUCCUAACUAAACUUGCAACCUACAAAUGUGUCAACAUUACAUGUUUUGGCAUCAUUCGAACCCAACAGGUUAUUAGGAAAUAAAUCCAAAAAUAAGAGACUUUGAGAUUGCUGAUGGGAUGGGUAACAACCAAAUAAGCACAUAUACAAUAAGUUAAUUAAUACUACCUUUGUUUCAAAAUAUUAUACCAAAACGUCUUAUAUUUUGAAACAGAGAUAGUACUUAUAGUACAAGAGUGUACAGGACAUUUAGUUAAGAGGCCAAAACUAGAAUAGCAAAAGCAACCAAUGCACAGUGGUUAAUAAUGAUCUUGUGAAUCAUGCACAAACUAUUUUGUUGUCAAGGUACAAAAUUGGAUCCUUUAAAAUGUAAUAAUAUCAAUAUCCCCCGUUUAUUGCCCAAGCAUCCUGAAAGGCAUGCAGCUGAGAGCUGCAGACCAUACUGCUAAUUAUUUCAUGGGAAAAGGCAAGGCAUGCAUGAUAAGAACGCUAAAAGCGAGAAUUGAUAUUUACCUGUGCCUUUUGCAGUGGAGAAACUCGACAACAUACAACUGAUUGGCAAAUUAAACUCAAACCAAGAAGAUUCACACGCAGAGCUGGGUCUAGAGCGUACAUCAAGCAUCGUCCAUCAAUAAUGAAAGCCAACUUUCGUCCUGGCGUGCUCCUCAAAGAACGGUGGGCUUCCUCAAGGUAACUUCUCAGACUCUGUUUUACCGAGUCUUUGAUAACACGUGCAAUUUCCACAGGGUCUCCCUGAAAAUGACUGGAACAUUAUUCAUGGCAAAGAUAUGUGCAUAAGUUGAUUUACAUCAAUCAGAUACAAAUGCUAAAUUGCUAAUUAUGGUUGAUCAAACUGCAAAACACACGAGAUAUCCAAAAGGCUAUAUAAACAUGAUGGAGAGGCUAAAGCACUGAAACAACAGAAUCAACAUAAAGUAUUUUGUACUAUUAUGCAACUAAGCCUUUUGUCCCAAGCAAGUUGGGGCAGGCUAGAUAUGAAACCCAAACAGAAACUAAAGCAAAGUGCAGGUAACAAAAGAGCAAGAGAGUAAAUCAAGGUUCAGGCACAUGGACUGCUGAUUUCCAUGCAGCCCUAUCAAAAGCAAAAUCUCUAGAUACAUUCCAGUCCUUCAAGUCCCUUUAACUGCCUCCUACCAAAAGCAAAUAUCAUAGUAAUCCACCAACCAAAGUAACAAGGGAACUACUUGUAACUUCUUAGUUCACAAGUACAUACCAGUUGAGCUAUCCAAUUAUUCUAAAUAAUAUGGUUUGAUACCUUUACCAAAGUCUCAACUUGUAUUCAUUUUAAAGCUUAUACAAGAUAUUAUAUGUUAUGGCUUAACAGUCUCCAUGACACAAUAUGGCUUGACUUCACAGUUUAAUUCUAUAGGAUUAUCUUACCCUGUCUUCAGCAUCUCUAAUUGCAUCUGUCUCAGAAGUGAUGAUGAAUUGUUUUGUAUCGUUAUUCACCAGGCUGCACGCUGCAGAGCAAAAACUAAAUAACUUCAGAAGCUUUUCUAUGUCAGGUGAAAGAGAGAGAAAAAGACCGCCCGCCCCCCACCAAUAAUCCAAAACUGAGCUUCUAUUAGACCCCUUAAGAACGAAACAAGCAUGCAAAUUGAUCUAUAUAUAAUUAAAACCUCACCAUAUGCUAUAUUAAUUGCUGUUUCCAUUUUAUCUCCAGUUAGCACCCAAAUUUUUAUGCCAGCUGCAGAAAGAGUUUCAAUGCAGGCUGGAACCCCUUCUUGCAGUUUGUCUUCUAUUGCAGUGCACCCUAUCAAUAUAAGGUCCUUUUCAAUCAACUCAGCCACCUACAGGGGAAGAAACAGAAGGAAAUUAUAUGGCAAUGUCCCAGCAAUAUCUUAAAUCAGAAUAUACAUUAAGUCUAUUACUUCAAAUUCCUUUUUCCUAGAAAUCACAGUGAACUUAGUACAUGAAAGAAUGAAAGGAUAAUGCUUUUCUAAUGGGGAUUUGAAAAAACAUCAUAAAAAUAAUAAUAUAAAGUACUGUAUGUUCUUGUUCUAGAUAAAUUACAAAUAUCUUUUGCUCAUGAUCCUCUUUCCUGACUAAAAAAUAUAUAUUAUUAUGUAAAAUACUAAUGUUCUAUGGCAGUACAAGAUAAUAAAUUAGCACAAAAAACUAUUAAACUGCAAAUGUCAGCUGUUAGGGAUGGAUGACAUGACUCCUGUAGUUUUGGGGGGAGAGAGAGAGGAGACACACUGAACAAAUUACUUCCUUCGUCUCCAAAGAUUGCCAUGCCACAUUCUAUUCGGUCAGUCAACCUUUUACAACUUCAAAAUUAACAAUUAUAAGUGAAUUGAAUUACUACAUGAAAAAUAACAGCACUCAAUUUGCUUGCAUAAUAAUUUGUACGCAAAACUUUUGCUUGUAUAUUAGCAUAGAAAUCAUAGCCAGAGUUUUAUGUUGGGAGAAUAUAAAAUUAAAAAAUGGCCUACAUUUGUCAGGUACAUUCAGUUAAUUGUUUCCAAAACCAAAUUAAUUUUCAUACAUAAAUACCAAACGGAUCAAUAGCAUGCUCAACAGUGCACAUGAGACUCGAGUUCAGUACUGGAUGACAGAAAGUAAAAAAAAUCAGGCAAGCACUAGAAGGUGGAGGGGAAGUAAUCGAAAUUCAAAUCACAGGGACUGUUCAGCCUGUAUACUCAACAGAAGAGGAUGGUACACAUACCUCAUCAAGCUUCUUAUCACGAUCUCGUAAAGAAGAUUUAGCUUGAACAAACUUCUCAUUCCAGCUUUCGUACUGCUCCCUGCUUAGAUCUCGAUAAGCAAGGCAAAGCGUGCGCAAGCCAGCAGAGCCAAAUUGUUCUAGAUGUUCUCUGCUUGUCUUUUUAAUGUCAUGAUUUCCAUCAGCUAACCGUUCAAAAAUGACAUUAUCAGCGCCCUGUUACACAACAUUUGUAUAAGGUUAGUGCAUCAAUCUACAAAGUGAUAGCUACAUAAAGAUUCUUUUUUCUUGUAUUACCUUGCAAUACAGAACAAGUUUUCCAUUUGGGAAACGGCAAACCACAGAUUGGCGCUUUCUUGUACUGUGAGUGCAGUAAAGUGUGAAGUGCAGAACAAUGAUUUCAUCUUGUCAAAUUUAAAUUGAAAACAGAUAAACCAGACCUGUUGAAUUCCAAAACAUUCAGAAUUUCAUAUGCAACAUCUUGUAUACUCCCCAUCCUCUCAACAUGUGAUUCCCGAACCAAGACUGUGGUUGGCGUACGUCUACAAGACAGGCACAAAAUGUCAACCACCGGCAUUGCCAUUCACAAUAAAAAUGCCACAUGAAAUAAUUUGCAACAAAAAUCAUAAGAACUUAGAUGAGUUCAUGUUCACAGCACUUGCUUUAACACUUGUCUUAAUUUACAACGGCAAUUUUUUGUUGAUGGGCUAAUAGUUUAUUUAUGCUUCUUAGUAUGUACAUUCAGUCCUUCAUACAACAAACUAUAUAAGCAAUAACCUGGGUGAGUGACUCUUUUAUGCACAUUUUCCUUGGGACCAUAGCAUAGUUUUUUAAGAUACCUUGUUUGCAACAAACUGAUAAGAGGAAUCUAUAACUGUAUUUAAAGGCAAGGUAAGACAUGCCUAUAAAAGAAGAAACCAAAAUUCUUCGCAGCAGCGACAAGCGCGGCCUCGUCGGGAGAGGCAGCUUGAUAAGUAAUCUUUUCCGGUGUCUCCUCACCCUCAGGAAGAACUGUAUGACAGAUUGCAAGGCAUCUGCAGAAUUGCUAUAGAGCAAAUAACAAAGUUGUUACACAACUAGCACAUUAACAAGGGAAAAUGUGAAAAAGGAAAAUAGGUUCCAAAUUUUAUUAGUAAGGGCAUAUAUCGUGAUAUGUGAAUAAUUUGUGUCAACUAAAUCAAAACUGAUUAUGACCAAAGGGGAACCAAUCGAACUAUUCCACAGGUAGUCCCGUAUUUACCACGCAAGCAUCAGGAUUAGGUUCAUUUCUCCAUGCACCACGCAUUAUUCUAGCAUCAUCAAAGUUGAAUCCUUUCUCAUGAACUGCAGUGGCUGAUCUUUUACCCUAAAAAAGGCAAGUAAACUGGAUAUUAAAUCAGUUGUGCAUUAAAUUUUUCAUCAUAUACCACCACACUUCAAUAGCGUAAACAACAAAGAAAAUGUUGUAGACCUCAUCAUCAUCAAUCUUGACUCCGGCUCGCUCGGCUCCUCCUUUUUCAAUCUCUGUGAUGCCAGUUCCAUAUAUUUCCCCUCCAAUCGAACAUUUAAAGAAUUCCAUCAAGUUUCUUGUAAGUGUUCCAGUUUUGUCAGAAAAUAUAUACUCAACCUGAACCAUUAGUGGGGCAAAAAAAAUUUGGCAGAAAUGUCAAAUUAUUUGCAAGUGUUAAGUGCAUUUUAGUACCACUCGGCAUUUGUUCAGUCAUAUAAGCAUUUCUGGGGAUCUAGAACAGUUUUUCGGUGGGAGUAAGUCACUUAAUAUUAGUGAAAUGAGACUGUUCCCCAAGUGCUUAUAAUUGAUCCCACUUUCUGGAAUGAGUCGGUGCAGUGAGGUCAUUCUAUCCAUUAACCAAACCCAGCCAUAUAGGUCAAAUAAGUAAAUAACCCCAUUUCAGCAACAAACAAAGGGGCUUUCAUCAAACUAAACAGAAUGCUAAGGAACAAAAAAAAAACUGAUAUUACCUGCCCAAGCUCCUCAUUCAGAUUAGAAGUCCGAGCCAAAGCUGGGGUGUUGCUCUCGGCAUGAUACAUAUUCAGAUCAUUGUUAAUAAACUUUGCACACUGAAUGAAUUUGAUCAUCUGCCAGCCAAAAUAAACAUAAGGUCCAAUCCAAAUACAGGGUACACUAAAUGAUAAAUUGGUCAAUAUACCUCAAUGGAUACAUAAAGAGAAAUGGGGAUGAUCGUUGAGUAUAGAGUUAUUAGAGUAAACAUAGUUAAAAUGGUCACCUGCAAAAGUACAAACCUAUGAUAUAAGGCCACUUAGAGAAUAUUCUCUACAAUAAAUUAACUAAAAUAAUAUAUACCACAAAUCUGUUCUUGGGAUUAAACUGGUCCUCGACACGCCCACGCAAUCCAAGAUAGAAGUAUUUCUCAUUAAUAAACACGCCACUGUUCACAAAAGCCAAGUAUGAUGAGUCCAUUGGUAGAGUUUUAGGUUUCUAAAGAACGUGCAAGCUAAGCAGUCAUAGUUACCAAAAUCUAUAUGCUGAACAGAGCACUUCCAUUUCUGACCAUCUAGAAAGUGCCCUAUUAUGUACCUCCCACAUAAAACCACUAAGAAAAAAGAUAAGGCUAUUAAGACCUAGUCAUGUGCUCAUCUAUACUGCUCCUAUGCCACAAUAAAAAAAUAACUUCCCCAAACAAGCUCCUGACAACUCAUGUCAUAAUGUUUAAAGUUUAUCUCUCUAUUAACAGUUGUUUUUUCAUGAUCAAUUAAAUUGUGAAAAAUGAUUGUGCAAGCAUAAGCCUCCACAACAUCAACCUAACCGAUAUAACUCAUGUUCAGAGAAUAUACAUGUAAACAAUAAUACAAGAUAGAUAAGUCAAAUAAAUGAAGUGGGCCAAAUAAAACACUGACCUUCCAAUAGCACCAAUGACACACAUCGUAAAGAGGGUUGCAAAUAGAGCAAGAAUAAGCUUGUCUAGUUUCUUCUCCAAUGUACUUCUUUUAGAGGGAACAUUCAUAGAAUUCAUCAUAACCUGCAAUAGUGUCCCACUGCAGUAAAUCUCAAAACUAGAAGCACAUCUAACCUACAAGUUGAAUAUAUAGGGACACAAAAUUGCACAUACUUUCGUCUCAUGGCCCGUGAAUAUAACAGCCGCGACAAUGUACUCUGUAUUACGAAGGCUGCAUCCCUGUGGCAAAGUGGUAAUAAGAGGUUGCAUGUGUGCCACAUAAAGAGAGAGAAUUAAGUGUCAUGCAAGACACCGUUCAGUCUGGUGAAAGUAAACAUUUCUUUUGCACUUUACAAACAUUGCUUCAACCCUUCACCACUUAUCCUACAUAUGGGACUAGAGAAGAAAUGGAAGUUGUUUAUAUGAAUGUUAAACAUUUCCAAAUUGUUUAUAUCAUAGCUAUCCUUGUUUGCAAACCAAUAAGAACAAUAUUAUUAUAGAGGUGUUUUAUGAUGAAAAUUUCUGCUGGUGACAUUUGGGUGUCGUCAAUAUUGGUAUUUGGAGGAGAUGUUGGUGAUCAAAGUUAAAGGCCGAGUAAAGGCAUCACGCUAUGAUGUUAUUUUUUACCUGAGGGAUUUUCUUAACAAACUCAUGCUAAAUCUAGAACAUGCAAACAACUUUGCAGGUGGACAAUCUUGUAAAGAAAUUUCAAGGGCAUGUUUGUGUGAGGGGUAUUACUUUGGUACGUGUUGGUAACUACAUACCUAAUUGUUACAAGAAAAAUCUCAUCCAAACAAGCCCUAAGGACAUUAUGGACCUUGCUACUGCAAAGUUGGUAAGUCGAAAAUACGACAGGAUGUCUGAUUGAUAUGUAGGACCUGGACCCACAUGUCAUUCUCACAGCGAGUCGCACUAUUUCAAAUGUCAACUUUGUGGUGGCAUGGUUUCAAUUUUCCCAAUAAGAAACUAGAUACAAAUAGCAUAGAUGAACAGCACUUACCCUUAGUAGUAUUUGAUUUGGUGAAAUUGGUAUAGUUUGCUUGUCCACAAUAAGGUUCCCGGUAAAUGUAUAAAGUGAAUUGUUUGGCUGUUCGCAUUGUAUUUCACCUGUAAGCCAUGAAACAUACAGAUAAUGUGAAGUUAAGAAAAUGUAGAAUAGUUAAGUGAAGUUCAGAAAAGGAGCAAUGCUUCCUACACCAACUACCGAAAAAUGUCUGCAACAUGGAACAAGAAUAGAUAAAAACCUUUGAAUUCAGAAGCCUUUUCAGGAAUUACGCAGUCCCAGGUUUUCUCCAAAGCCUUCCUUAUUUUCAGGUUAGUUUCCCCAUCAAGAUUUGCUGUCUAAGGUAAAUAGAAGUAUGAUACACUUCAAUUAAAACAGAGUUUCUCUAAAUCAUUCAAUAAUUUCAAUUUGGACAAAAGAUGGAGAAGGUAAGAAUGAAUAUAUUGACCUCUAUGUAGCAGACACCAUCAGGGUUCGUACUUGAUAGGAAGAGCAAGUCAGAAGGAAAGUAAGUGUCUUGCUUGAUCUGCUCUAAAGAAGUGCCAUCACUAUUAGUCUUUUUGGAUAUGUGUAUCGAGCUGAAGAUUAAAUUUGCACAGCACAAAAGAUCAAGUGCAUUAAUUUGUGGAAGCAACAGAUCAAUUGAAUUGAUCAUCAAAUUGCUAUCAGGAAAGAUGAAGACAUUACCCUCACAAUAUCUCCAACCUGCAGUCUUUUCCAAGGGGCACUUUCCCAUUUUUGACCUUGCAAUACAUCGACGUGCGCAUUAUUAAUUGACAUGUCAUUCUGGAAACGUUUCUGUAUAAUGGGAGGCAAACAAAAAGGGAAGAAUAUCAGAUAACAUUAAGAAUAGCAAUAAAAUAGUGGAGCAACAGAGCAUGAGAGCAAUACUAACCCAGUCCUCAAAAGCUUCCUUGAUGAGUGAAACCAAAAGCACUAAACUAAGUGGAACCACAUUGGUGACAGGGUGGACUGGACUGCGAAGAUACAAGCAUGUAUGAACUAAGAUUUCUAGAAGUAAAGGUGAAGGAAAGCAAAGGAUGACUGAAUCAACUGAUGGACUUGAUAUGCUAAGAAGUGUCUAGCUGUAACAUGAGAAUUCCAUAGGGUGCAUGCAUGAGAGAGAGAGAGAGACCUAAUUGGUGUAGUCGACAAGAUUGAAAUCAUAAGAAAGUAAAGAUUUGCCACCCGUCUGAACUGUCAAAGCAAAAAAAAAAACAAAUGAAUUACAAAAGGUUCCUAUGGUCAAAUUGCGAUAAUACAGAAAGGGAACAUCUAAAUCGGUGUUACAGCUACCAUUGCAAAGUUUCUUUAUUCGAUAUGGAAAAAUGCAUUACAUGUUUAAUGUAUGAAGCCAUUGAAAUACUUUAAUGUACCUUACGUAAAAAACAGUGGAUAAUGAAAUUGCCAGAAUUAUGGUAUCGCAUAAAAUGAAGGUUACAUUGAGCGAAAAGCAUGAUCAGGGCUUUACCAAAUAACAAAAUCAUACUUCUCCUUUUCUCAAUAUAUGGCAUUUUAGGUUUCAUUGAAGACAAGUCUUUGAAAAGGAUUUACUUUGUGUUGUUUUUAAGGCAUGAAAUUUAUAUCACUAGAUUCAUCCUCAAAAGUACUUAAUGUGGAUUCAUAUCAUAUAAAUCACAUAUUAAUGAAGUAAUUCUUGGUCAAAGUCUUGUAUUAACGAAACCUAAUAUGUCCUGUAUUGACAAAAUGAGGGAGUAUAUUAUCUAACAGUGCAUGUAUACAGGCACGAUACUGGUAGCGCGUAUUACAAGCAAGGUAUCUUAAAAACAUUGCAACACAGUGCCAGACCAGGUAAGCAACUAAGCAUCUCAUGUAUCCACUAUUUUAAGGGAAGUUGAUCCAGAGUGAGGAAAUAAACAUUUUUAAGGAGAUAUAUCAAUUUGCAAUGUGAAAAUGAUACGGAGUAGUAUAAUCAUUUCACUGUGAUAACAAAUACUCCCUCCGUUCUAAAUACUUGUCGCUGUUUUAGUGCAAACUAAAACAGCGACAAGUAUUUAGGAACAGAGGGAGUAACUUCCAUUUACCGUUAGACAUGAUACAAAAUAAUAUGUUGAAAAAAAAUCUAGCCAAAAACUAAAAAACAAACAGAAAAUCUGCAUUAAACGAUGACAAACCCAGCAGGUAUGUUGAUUAACAAAAUAUGUAUGAACAAAAAACAACGCAUCAAUACCUGUUCAAACAAUCCUUUAGGUAGAAAUGUCAGCACACUGUACUUUGUAGUCGACACAGAAUUUCCCUGGAAAUGUAGAAUGAGAAUGUUAAAGAACUAAUUCUAGCAGAAAAACAAAGUAGCGCUCUGCAUUAGAAUCGCGAUGGUCUGAUACCCAACAUGAGGGAGAUUCUGAAACUAAACAGAAGAGCUAAUUGCAACUAGAAGCAUGAAAAAAGUAUAGCUUGAUCUUUUUACAACAUCAAGUCUGAAUACAUUCAAGCAUUUACACUAACUUGGAACAAAAUGUGGGUGUCAAAGAAAAUGCAUGAAUACACCUACUUACAAUAAAGCACCAAUUUUGCAGUGAUUGGACAAACUAUGGUUAAAAUACUUAAUAAUAGAGUUCUACGUAUUUGGAGGCAUAAAACGCAUUGCAGUUGGAGCAGUGGCAUUAUCAUGUUAGUCAGUCUAACAUGGCAGUGAAUGACGUGAAUUUUUUGCUAGUUUAGACCUCUGGCCAGCGCAAUUGACAAAAAUGCCCCCCUCUCAAAACUAAUGCCAAAAAUGGUCUGGCAGAAGGCCCGAAAGGCGCCACAUUUCAUUUUUCGCCAUCUGAGCUGCGCAUGCAAACAUUCCGACAACCUGAAAGGCGGAAAGGCCGUUCCGCCUACUGCAUUUGAUGAAUGCACCUGACAAGGGCGGAAGGUGAACUGGGCCCUGCAGAUGGAAGCAAUUUCCACAUUUGUUACAGACCUGGAAUCUUUUUUUUUGUUGGAGUCGACGGACCAUGUAUGUGCGGAUGCAUAGGAAUCGGCAAGCAGCCUAGCUGCUAGUUCACGGGCACGUUUUACAUUUUCUUUCCUCAGGUUUGGCUAGUGCUACCACGUUGAUACUAAUCAACGCUUCUUGUGAAUGGGCUUAGUUGCUUCUACUAGUCGUGCGAGCGUUAAUCUUUUCUCUGUGCGCCUGCAUGUGCGGGCGUGGGAAUCGGGUCAGGUCCCUGCAGACAGCACGCCUGGCUGCACUGGGCCUGCUUCAGCUUCCGCCCCUGAAAAUUCACUUUCGUCCAUUUCAACUGGAAACAAGUAGGCUCCACCUGUCCUGUUGGCGGAAAGUUCAUUCCUCCUACCCAGUGGCCACUGGGUCAGUUGCUGGGCUUUCCACCACGUCAUUUUUCAAAUUAUAUUUCAGAUGGAGCUAUUUUUGCCAAUUCCGUUUGACAAGGGGCUACAAGAGCAAAGAAAUUGAAUGACAUAGCAAGCAAUCAAUUUCCCCUUAUAGGUAAAUAAUAAACAGCUUUGCUUCAGCUUACUGUCAUCAGCUGGUGGCUGACUGCCCUGACCAAACACAAGUUCAGUAAUCUACACAGCAAGCGGCACACAGGUGCAGCUAAGCACAUGGAUGAACAGAAUAUUCCAGCCAUUGAGGCUCAGCUCUCGAAGCUUAAUGCCAGGUGGCAUCUACAUUGUAUUGCAGCCCGUAGCACCCUGAUUGACUAGUAACCCAACAAUGAGACAAGCUCUAAUCCACCCAAUGACCUCACAGUUGGCAAGAAAUGCAGCCCUUAGUGACACGCACCACCCUACAUAACUUUCUCGUGGACUAAUCAGUAUGAAUCAUAUAAACCCUCUGCAAGCUGCAGUGAAAUAAAACUACUACUACUGAACUAGCUAUUGUCCCAGAUGGCCAUCUCCAACCCAACCGCCCAAGCAUGAAACAAGGGGCCAGUUACGAGAUCUAGGCCUACAGACCCCUAGACCUUGAGACAACCGACCUGUUGAUCAUCCGAAUUAGAGGAGGAGGUGCACACCCGUACCUUGUACCCGACCGGCGCGUUGGCUUCGCGGUCGUUGCAGUAGAUGGUGCGCACGGUGGGUGCCUGCGGCUGCGGCUGCCGUCGGAGGCUGCCGCCCCCGCCGCCGAGACGCGCCGUCCUGGACGCCUCAGCGCGGCCGGCCUGAGAGGUCCCCCCCCGCGGCGACUGCUCGCCGCCCAGCCGCGCGGUGGCAACCCGCAUCAUCUCCUUUAUGCGCGAGCUCAUCCUGCCCCCCUCAGCGCCAAACCCAGCGCUGGAGGAGCCGGCGGGAGAUCUGGGGAAACCUCACGGUGGAUCGGAGGGGAGACCUAGUCGGAUUUGCGCGGCUUUCUGGUGGAUUUCAGUGCCUCGCUGAGGAGGGGAUUCGAUUUGGGUCACGCGUUCCCGUAUGUGCGUAUUUUUUCCGUGUAAUUUUUUUGUUUUGCCUUUUUCUUUUCCUUUGGCUCCGGGAGAAGAGAAGACAGGAGGGGAAGGAAAAGCGAAGGUCGCGACUUCGCGAGGAAGAAAAUGAAGGGAUUACUGCAGAUCACACCCUUGAUUAUUUUCGAAUAUGGAAAGCUCCAGUAACUGAAGUUUGAAAUUCCAGCCGCGUUUGUCUUUUCCUUCUUCGAGCAAACAACCGUGUUCUUGACUUGUUCUAUGUUUUUGCUGUCCGGAGGACUACCCGAUUUGCAAGUAAAUAAUGGCAUUAAUUUCAUAUAAGCACUUUAGGACACCACACUUGACAUGGUUUUCUACUGACGACGACUAUAUGGUGGCUUUGAUGUUCCAUGAAUAGAUCUUUUUAGCGGUGUUUCAAGUUCAGGUGUUAUAACAAAGCAUUACUCUUGACCUAUCUUCCCUUGCGACCAUGCUUUUUGAAUCGCCAAGUCGAGUCGAAUCGCCCCCCAACAGACUUGGAGGUUAGUAUGAUUAGUCAGAAACUAGUCUCGACUAAUCAACCCAAGUCGAGCCUAGUGAUCAGUGAGGUUUAGGGAGCUCUAGCAGGGAGCAUUAGAGGAAAGGAGUGAAUUGCAGUAGAGGGGAAGCACGAGGGAACAGUUUUUGUGGUGCUGGAGCUUGAAGAAGAGGUUCAUGGCGGCUAGGAUCUAGGAGUCGAUAAACUUAGAACGCCCGUGUUGAGGCAAACGCGUUGAGGAAGACGACUUCAAAGGUGGUUGGCUCAUUAUCAGGAUAGGUGCGUGCCUGGCAGCCCAUAAAGGCCUAUUAGAAAACCCUAACUCCCCCCUCCCCCCCCCCCCCACACACACAUUGCCUUCUUCUACACCACACACGCACCAAUGGCGGCCAUCUUCUUCCCCUUCCCUGCUGCUCCCCAUGCCUUCUCUCCCUCCCCGAAAAGAAAUAUCUUCCGAAAAUUCUUCUCUUCGAGUCAAGUUGAGGGGCUCGCGGCGUUCCUAGUCACGGCGGCUAGUCGGAGAAGUCGCGGUUCUAGCUGACGAGUCGCGCGACUUGCUCUGCUAGUCGAGUCGCGGCUGCAAGCCGCCAUCAUUGUGCUGGCUCGGCGACUAGUUGGCGAUUCAAAAACCAUGCUUGCGUCUUAUAAUUUUGUUUCCUCUUAGAUUUUUUUCAAUUAUGUAUGGAACUCUUUUAAGCUUGGCUAACAUAUUGGGUCAAUUUGUCUCCCAUUGAAAAAAAAACAAUUUCCUAUAAAAAAUAAAGUAUCCACAAAACAAUAUGCAUAGCGCAGUUGUUUUCAAAGUUGUGGAUGAAACUUUGUGUUGUACAGGCAACCACUUAAUAACUUGUUCGGUUGUAGAAUUCCCCGCAUGUAUUGAAGAGGAUUAAGAGAGAUCUAAGGAAAAUUGAUCUGCAAUUCGAUCAUUCCCUCUUAAUCCCCAUCGGAGUGGAAUCAACCGAACGGGGCUAAUGUGGACCAUAUCACCUUGAGGACUCCAUUCUUCUUUUAUGGCAACGUUGCAUGGACCUUGAUAUGAACGCACGUGCCUGCAAUCUCUAUUAUUUUUUCGUAAAUAGCAACUGUCCUUUCUGUAUCUUGUAAUAUGUUUUCUACAAUUUUAUUUGGGAUAUUUCGUCAAGAACCCAAAUCGAUUACAUUUUCCACUUUGGCGAAUGAGUCAAGAUUCUCCAUGUGUUCCAGCGAGGCAACUGCGAGCUACACAUGUAUGGUGAAACAAGCCUCGCAACUUCGUAAGUAACUCCAAAACUACAUCAGCACGUCUCUUGAACUUUGGAAACACACAGACGUGUUCCACGACCGUGAGGCGACGGAGUUAACGGGGCAGCGUUGCCGGAAAGACAAGAGUACCGUAACAAGGCCCAGACUGGGCUGCAUCGGCGUUCUGCCUCUAUUACAAGCGAGAGAUGUUGAACCGGCCAAGGUUAGGCAAGGCAGUCAGCGGGAGGAUUUUUUUUUUUUUGUUGUUGGUUUUGAAGAGGCGCGGGAGGAGAAGAACUUGCUUGACCAGCCCACAAGAUCGUGAACCGGUAUGACAUUGACAUUUUAUUUAGGGCCAGUAACGUGUAAUUAGAAGUACUAGCUUACAUCUCUUCCUUUUUGAACCGUCAGAUCUGCAACCAUAUCAUCUCUCCCCUUUGUCCUCUUCGCUAUGCCGAUUUUAGUGAAACGCCGCUGCCAAAUCUUCACAGGAUUGUGAACCGGCAGCAGCUUCGACCCUUCAAUAUUAUUAUUACAGCUAAAUAAAAGACUGAAAUUAUAGGUGAGGUCCUUUGUUCUAAUCGCCCAAGCGAGCAGAAGCCAAGAGAUUACGUGCAAGCAUAGCAUGGCCAUGUUCGCCAACUCAUGACAUAGUGGCACAGGGACUAACCACCUGGAUUACAUGGCUAGCUUCCAUAUAUGUGCAACAAAAUAUUGGUACCAGGCAGCCAUCUGUGCCACCAACCAUAAACUCCCUGAUCCCAAAAAAUACAAAAUACCAAGAGUUUCCACCCACAUCAGUACAAGUGCACAACAGUUUAAGAGACAAGCCAAGGAUCAUUCCCAGUUUGUGGGAAUAAAUAAGAGUCCGCAGCAAACAGAAAACUCAAAAUCGCUGGCAAAGUUAGGAUGUGGAAAAAAGAAAGGCUUAAAAUGAUCUAGCCAUGGCGUCAGAAUCUAUUAUCAAUGUUUCUCUCUCAAGGAUUUCCCUUCUAUAUAAAGUAUAAUAUUACAAAGGGGCUGCUUAAAUAUCAUGGACUCCUGGAAUGUAAAGAGGGUAAUAAUCAACACUACAUGAGCCUCCUUUUUCCUGAGGCUGCUUCCUAAGACUGACUGACUGCUUCCCCGAGGAUCCACAUACACCCUCCCCUCUCCUCAAGUUCCACCUCCCACCAUGGAAGUUAAACCCCCACCAUGGAUCCGAUGCUAACCAACUGUACGCGACCUGGAGAAAGUCAGUCAGCUUGGUGGUUCAAUCAAGACAGAGCAUCACGAUAUUGCCCAAAUGGUAUAAUUGGCAGGAUCAAUAAGUAGUUUAUGCUCGCAGCAAGAUCCAAAAGAACCAAUCUACCAUGACUAAUGUAUGACAAGAAUGAUGUCUUAUGUCUACUUUCAGAUACACUAUGGUCCAGGUGAAACAAUAUUUUAAAGUUUAGUAAUUACUGGCAGUAGUAGACAGACCACAGAAGUGUAAAGAUAUUUGCACACAUGACCUUUUAAUCCAAGGCUAACCCAACCUUGUAAGCUACGUGCUGUUUGUGCUAACGCUGCUGCUUGAAUGCAAUUAGACAGUGGUGAUGUCCUUGUUAGUCUGUUACAUACCUAAGGCAUCACCUCCUGAUUCUAGGUUUGCACCGGAACUCUGCUAAGAGCGCUAUGUGAUCUGAUGACCAUUCAGGUGAAGGAAGAGCAGUGUCUUUUCUUAAGCUCUCCUCAUCCAGAAGUUCCAACAAAGACUCCACGGUCAACGAAUCCGCUGAAACAAUAAAGGAAACAUGAUCAACUGACCAUAAUCAAACAUAUCACAAUACUACAAGCUGAUUCUGAAGCAAUUCCCAGAAGUCUAAAUACAGCAUACAGGUCAGGUACCUACCUGUGUAAAAUAUAUAAUCAACAGUUCCAGUGAAAUCCCUUGUGCAAUUUGUGAAAAGUGGUUCAUUUGUUCCUGGAUCCAUCCUCCUUCGCUGGUGCUCUAAAUCAUAGCCAACACCUACCAUUCUUGCAAAUGAAGAAUAUGCACUGACCUGCAAACAAGUAAACAUUGGUCAGAAUUUUAAAGGAAGAACAAGAUAGACAAGCUUGAUAGUUUUACUGUACCAGAGGAAGCUGGUGCGUCAACUUGCUCACGGGGCGUAAAAUUGAAAGUGGGUCUAUGGCCAGAUCUGGAUGCAAUUGAUCAACUUUGCCCACCGCAAGAAGCCCAUGUGGAGUACUGAAAGACAAAAGGAAGCACUUAGAGAUUUAAAGUUAGAAAAAACAAGUAAACCUGAAAAAUAUUGCUCCAAUAGAAUCUUGACAUGCACCUCCCCGGGAUUGAAUUGAAAUCCCCACAGACCAACAUUGGAAUGUCUGCACUGUUGGCUAUUUUCUCCAAUCCUUUUAGUAGUGUUUGAACCUGCAAAAAACAUACUUACUUUCGAUCUGAAUUUUUCAGAUGUUGCAGAAUGCUAGCCUACAGAGAAUGUGACAAUACUGACCUCCCAUAGUUUCACAUCUUUGAGGUCUUGGUGGACAUUUACAUGUGUAUUGGCCUGAAAUUUGAGAUCAUUUAAAAGAAUGAGACCUCCAUGACUCCAAGUAGCAUAAGCCUAGGCCGUAUGAACAAUGGGAAAUCUGUAGUAAAGUUGGCCUCAAAAUCUAGAGUCUAGAGAGCCAAGUCCCAAUCAUCCGCCAUUAACAUAUAGAUGUUUCCGUGCAUCUUAUGCUACUAAGGUCAUCCUACACAGAUAUAUGUUUCACUUCAUUCCUAAAUGUUGUGAGCAAAGAAGGAAAAGAAUCCAUAUGUUGUUCUGCACUAUGCUGCUAGCAGUUCAAUAGCUAAACAUACGGGAAAGUCCACUUUUGGCCCCUUAACUAUUGCCUCAGAUCAAAAUCAUCUAAUUUGCACCCUCAACUAUCAAAAGCAUCCAAGUUACAUCUGAAGGCAAUAUUUGUUAGAGGCUUUGUGUGAUGUGGCAUCCAUGUCAACGUGUUUUGCCACAUCAAUCGCUGCUGGGCAGUAGGGCCCACAUAUCAUGGCUGCCGUGCCCCUUCUUUCUUUAUAAUUCUUCCUCCUUAGCCAUGCCAUGGCCUCCUCUGUAGGCUAUAGCUUCCACUGCUGCUGCUACAGAUAACCCAUGUUUGACGUUGCAUAACAUCUUCUGAUUUAGAGAGGGGUAUCCUGACAGACAUGUACCAGUCUCCGCAAACCGCUGCACGGCUGCAUCCUGAGGGGAAUGGACAAAGAGAGGAUUAGAGAGGAAGGCUGAGGAGGGAGGCGUUUAGGGCGACUCCAACACGGCCACCCAAAUCGGACACAAAAAGUGUGUCCGUUUGGGUCUGCUGGUGCCCCUAACACGGUCACCCAUUUGGUCCGUUUUAUUAUUUAGUAUUGGCCACGGAUAGGCGGGCCAGGGCAAGGACAAGGGAGGACAAGCGCAGUGUCCACCCGCUGUCCGCCCAGACACAAACCCGGUCAGAUUUGGGUCGGCAAUGGGUUGAGCUGGACAGAAAAGCAGACAGCCGCCACACCGGACGAAAUGGGUCGCCGCGUUGGAGUCACCCUUAAUGCUAAGCUGGGAAAGAGGAAGGGAACAGAAAUAAGAGGAUGAGGACAAGGGAGGGAGAAAAGGGUGCUUCCAAAAAAUCAAUCCCAGGCAUGUGGGGCCUACUGCCCAGUGGAGAAUGAGAUGUCAAAGUUGCUGAUUUGGCGGCUACAUACAGAAUAUCACUCAUGAAACCAGCUUCUGGUCCUAUCGAACGGUUUCAUGAGUUGAUGGUUCAAUUUAGACCAGGCAAAAGUUGAGGGAUCAUAAUUAGGCUUUUCCAAACAUAAAUGAAUGUCAUGCUGUAAAAGUAGUGUUCGUCAUCCAGUAAACUGGUUCGAAUAUCCAACAAGCGCACAACUACUUUAUACACAUCUAAAGAAAGAACAGCUAUUUACAUACCACACAAAGGAGCUGCCUUUUACCAGGAGUUUCAGUUCCUUGGUUGCCAAAUUUUGCUUCUAAAACCGCAAUCAGCGCAAUAUUAUCCUUCAAAGCAAAUAGAACGUGUGAUAAAUAACAUCACUUUUUUUUGCGAAAAGUGAUAAAUAACAUCACUGUAGCAUACAUUAUUUCUUUUGAAGUUAAUCUUACUUUAAUCAGUCGACUUAAAGCCACUCUUUUCUGGGAAGCUGGAAUAAUAGCUUCUGUUAAAGACUGUGCAGCCUUAUUGAACUCAACCUACACAAGCAAGUACAAGUAUUAGAUAGCUGCAAAUAUCAAGCUGCUGCAAACCUGCAGUACAGGUACCUCGUAUUUUUUGACAUGUGAAAAUCUAUCUCUACGGAAGAAAGUAGCACAGCCAUCAAUGGCAUUAGGAACUCCAGCAUACACCUGUGACAACAGUAAAGUAAAAUCAAACAAGAGACAAAAGGUAUUAAACCAAAAUAUGAAGGAAAAAAUCAACCCAAAGAUACCUCUGUUGUCCGUUUCUUGUAAAGCGCCUGAUACCCAUGUUUAUCAAACUCAGGAGCAAAAAAAUCCUCAAAGUGGUUCAAUUGUACCUGAAAACAGUAGGACUUGGCUUAAUUCCCUCCUGUUACAAUCUUCGGUCACUCUUCGUUUUUAUUGUAAGCCGCUUCAGUAAACUCUUCAUAAUAUAUAUGCAGACAAUAUUCGUGAAAGUUUAAACAGCAAGCAAACUAUCAUAAAUUCAUAAUCCAACAUCACUGAAAAGUGAAAACAAUCAAACAAAGUGAUGGCACAAAUAUGGAAACGAACAGCCCAGCAGUAUAUGAAAGAUUGUAGGUUGAUGAACAGGGUUCCGGCAUUAAAGUUUACCGAGUCGCAAAAAUUAUAUGAUCAACCAAAUGAGACAUGCUCGGUUCCUAAAACAAAUAUAUGAGAUGAAAAGCUGAAAAUAGGUCACCAAAAUAAAUAAAUUCAGAAGAUAGCAAACAUAUGAUACCUCCUGAAGACAUAUAAUAUCAGCAUGAUAACCAAUAAUUUCGCGCAUCAAAUUUUGUCUUCUGUAAGUCCAUGAAAGUGCCCACGUUGGGCAGUAGCUAUAUGCAUCAGAUGUAGCAUAUGCAUCAGCAAGAAUAUUAUAGGACAGCACCGUGAAUGUCCCAAAAGAAGAAGUCUGGCUGUCUAUAUCUGAGUGACCCAAAACAUCUCCAUUCACUUGGAUAAGGCGGCGUGGAGUAGGAGUUGGUGCUGGAAUCACACGUGAUGUCAUAAUUGAAGUUGGAGACCCCGCAGGUACUUUCUUUUCCGUAUCCACCGCUGCACAUUCAAAUCUUAGAACAUGCCCAAUAUCAUCAGCAGUUGGUGUAUACGUCUGCGAGCGUCCCACUUCAAACCAUGUUUCACCCGAGUUCUUAUCAGUGCCUGAGGGAUACAAGGGAACAGGUCCAUUAUUAACUCCAGGGCUCUGUCCAAGAUUUGACAUUGAGCCAGACCCAGAACUUAGAAUCCCAGAACUACCGCUGCCAAAUCUACCAAAUAGCUCCUCCUCUUCAGCUCCAUUUUCAUUUAAAGCACUACUAGCUCGCUCAUGCAAAACCCUGUGGUGCUGCCAUGCAUCAGAGAAGCACUUAGCAGAACAAUGGUAGCUCUUAGCAGCAGGUAUUUUUGACUUGAGACAACCUAAGCACUGAAUUGUUGCUUGCUCCAUCGGAUGUACACUGCAGAUAGUAACUUUUCGAUCACUCUGUAUGCGAUACCUUCGAGCGAAAAGUCAAAUCAGUAUAACCAUGUGCUACUAGAUACAGAAAAAGUUUAGAAGAACAUGAUUGAAUAUAGUAACUACAAGAAAGGACACCUAAAUUGCCAAUGUUUUAGCAUGUAUGAGAUCCAGGAAAACUUGCUAUCAGCAUCUUGGAAGUCCAUUAUUCAGAGACAUUAGACUCACAACACUUCCAUUAUAAGCAUAGUAUGAAUAAGGCAAAAUGAAGCAGGUUGCCAAGAUGUCGCAAAAAAAAAGAAGCAAAUUACAAGUUUGCUUGUCAUGAGUUGCUGCUGCUGUUGUUUUUUCUUGAUUUUAGUCCCUCAACCGGCUAACUCGUGAUCAUUCAUCUCUUGCUUUCUUUACCAGAUCAACCAUGCAACUGAUUUCUUUAGCGGACCAGGCAAUAUAUGUAAUAAGCAAAAUUCUACAGUUUAGAUCAGAGAUUCAGAGGACUAUUGCAGGCUCUCAUAUAUCAUCAUUAGGGCAUGACGACCAGACAAGGAAGUUGCUGUGUAUAUUAUUAUUCCUAGAAGAAAAACAUUUAAGUACUGUUCAAGGAGGCGACCAACUAUAGCCCAGUGCCCACCCCAUCAAUCGAUUAGUGUCUUUCAGAACACUUCAUUUCAACAAUGUGUCUAUAAAUGGCCACACUUACUAUACUCAAACCUCAAACCUUAAAAGUGAAUAAAGAUGCACAUAUCACAUGAGAUUCUAUCAAGCUAAUGACUGAAAAGCAACACAAUGAAAAUAUAAAAAACUAUAGAAUUGAAGGACCAAAACCAAUGAAACUGCAUGAGUGUUAGUGGGACCAAGCACCACCAUUUCGAAAAGUUCUAAGGUCUAAAGUCUCAGCAAUAAAUGCUAUUUAAACCUACAUGACAUUAAAAAAACGGAUGUGAUAAAACAAAUAAAUAUUCACGAACAUGAUCAAUCAUUCAGAGCGGGAUUCUAAAAUUGAUCACUGAAAUUGUUCGGCCACCCAGCUAUUAGUGAUUAUACAGCCGAGCUAGCUCAUUGCAGUGGGUGGCAUAACCAGCGGUUACAAGUUCUUUUCUCUCAUAUUUGCCUCUCCAUUUUUCAUUUUUUUAUUUCCAAAUAGAUCUACAAUGUUAUUUGAAUUUUAAAAAUAAUAGGUAGGGCACUCCUUACAUACAUGACCUCCUAGGCCAUUUAAAACAAAUAUGCAUUGUUUGGGGUUUUUUAUAUAACAUAAAGUAAGUUAACUAUGACACACUGCCAAAAUAUUUUUGCAUAAAAAACAUUAAAUUUGAUAUAGCACAGAAAGAACGUGGAUAUCCAGCAAGAGAUUAAAGAAGGCAAAGUGGGGCAGGCAGUCAGCAAAACAAAACUAGUGGAUCACGAGUUUCAAACUUUUACUAGCUUUAAGCAACUGAAAUAACUUGCCACUGAACCUAGUGAGCCAACAACUCUAACGUGUAAUAGCAAACAAGUAAUAAUUCUUUUGAAGCUCCAGAAUAAUCAAAACUGAGUCUAGAAUCAAGCUAGAAUGCCCAUUUGAGUUCACUGGUGAUGUUAGAGUGAUACUUAGUUCAAGGAGUAUAUCCAGAUACCCCAAUCAAAAAAAUCAUCUGAAGCCAUGCGAACAAACUGAUGGCACUUCUAGAAUAGUGUCUUUCCACAAAAUUAGUUAGAUAAGCCUAUGUAAUCCCAAAAUUUAUAAAAUGCUCCCGUUCCAUCCAAGAUGAACGUAAACAUUCCUGCACAACGAUUGGCAACAAUCCUCAACCCAACAGCCUUCAUCACCAUCCUAUGAUGCUAUCUAACACUCAAUAGUUCUAGCAAAACCAAAAUCAGAUGGUCUGUUUUGCUCAAUGAAUUACUUAUUAUCAUUACCAACCCGUGUGGCAGGUUGAUAUGGCAUAGACUAAAUAGUAUGAUUCAUAAACAGGCUUAAAAUAAUGCAAUACUGAGUUCUUUACCAAAUCAAGCAUUGGCAUUUCAUGUUCCCUGGGUUUCCAUUCGUUCCAAAAACAAACAACUGUCUUGCUAGAGAAAAUCAUGCUCAGAAUUCAUAUAGUUGUGCUUCAUUUAUGCAAGAAUCAAGACGAUUCAUGAGUUUAGCAAGUAGUUAAGCAUCUAGCAAACUGAUUGAUACUUAAAGCCCCCAUUUUCUUUUUUUCUUUUUUGUCAAAAUUCACUUGUAGCAACGCACAAGCGGAACUAAGCAUUCGAAAGUGUAUAUCCUAUUGAACCAAAAGUUGCAAUCACGAGCUGCUCACUCACCAUCUGUAUCGCAUGAAGUGGCCAUCAACAGGCGCGGCCUCAGGCACGUCGUCGGUGGAGAUUACACCGUUGGGCAGCCGCAGCAGCACGUACGGGGUGAUUUCGCACCCCACGAUCGGGAUCUCCGACGGCAGGUGCACCCGCACC
rnacentral:lncRNA from 1 species